AGUGAACGCUGGCGGUAGGCCUAACACAUGCAAGUAGAACGGCAGCACAGUAAGAGCUUGCUCUUACGGGUGGCGAGUGGCGGACGGGUGAGGAAUACAUCGGAAUCUACUUUUUCGUGGGGGAUAACGUAGGGAAACUUACGCUAAUACCGCAUACGACAUACGGGUGAAAGCAGGGGAUCUUCGGACCUUGCGCGAUUGAAUGAGCCGAUGUCGGAUUAGCUAGUUGGCGGGGUAAAGGCCCACCAAGGCGACGAUCCUUAGCUGGUCUGAGAGGAUGAUCAGCCACACUGGAACUGAGAACCGGUCCAGACCCCUACGGGAGGCAGCAGUGGGGAAUAUUGGCCAAGGGGCGCAAGCCUGAUCCAGCCAUACCGCGUGGGUGAAGAAGGCCUUCGGGUUUUAAAGCCUUUUUGUUGGGAAAGAAAAGCAGCAGGUUAAUACCCCGCUGUUCUGACGGUACCCAAAGAAUAAGCACCGGCUAACUUCGUG
rnacentral:rRNA from 1 species